CCUACGGGGGGCAGCAGUGGGGAAUAUUGGGCAAUGGGCGCAAGCCUGACCCAGCAACGCCGCGUGAAGGAAGAAGGCUUUAGGGUUGUAAAAUUCUUUUGACAGGGAAGAGCAGAAGACGGUACCUGUCGAAUAAGCAAUGGCUAACGACGUGCCAGCAGCCGCGGUAAUACGUAGGUGGCAAGCGUUGUCCGGAUUUCCAGGGUGUAAAGGGCGUGUAGCCGGGCUGAAAAGUCAGAUGUGAAAUCCGGGGGCUCAACCCCCGAACUGCAUUUGAAACUGUUGGUCUUGAGUAUCGGAGAGGCAGGCGGAAUGCCUAGUGUAGCGGUGAAAUGCGUAGAGAUUAGGAGGAACACCAGUGGCGAAGGCGGCCUGCUGGACGACAACUGACGGUGAGGCGCGAAAGCGUGGGGAGCAAACAGGAUUAGAUACCCGGGUAGUC
rnacentral:rRNA from 1 species